UCCGGGGGGAGCAAGCGUUGUUCGGAUUUACUGGGCGUAAAGGGCGCGUAGGCGGUCAGCACAAGUCAGUUGUGAAAUCUCCGGGCUUAACCCGGAAAGGUCAACUGAUACUGUGCGACUAGAGUGCGGAAGGGGCAACUGGAAUUCUCGGUGUAGCGGUGAAAUGCGUAGAUAUUGGGAAGAACACCUGAGGCGAAGGCGGGUUGCUGGGCCGACACUGACGCUGAGGCGCGAAAGCCAGGGGAGCGAAC
rnacentral:rRNA from 1 species